CCAGGUCCCGACGCUAUCCCCCCCCCGGCGCCGGGAUCUUCCCAGCCGGGCUUCGGCGCCCAUCCCCCCCGGGCGCCGGGGCCCGGCUCUCUU
rnacentral:ncRNA from 1 species